rnacentral:rRNA from 1 species
AGUGAACGCUGGCGGUAGGCCUAACACACGCAAGUCGAACGGCAGCACAGUAAGAGCUUGCUCUUACGGGUGGCGAGUGGCGGACGGGUGAGGAAUACAUCGGAAUCUACUUUUUCGUGGGGGAUAACGUAGGGAAACUUACGCUAAUACCGCAUACGACCUACGGGUGAAAGCAGGGGAUCUUCGGACCUUGCGCGAUUGAAUGAGCCGAUGUCGGAUUAGCUAGUUGGCGGGGUAAAGGCCCACCAAGGCGACGAUCCGUAGCUGGUCUGAGAGGAUGAUCAGCCACACUGGUACUGAGACACGGUCCAGACUCCUACGGGAGGCAGCAGUGGGGAAUAUUGGACAAUGGGCGCAAGCCUGAUCCAGCCAUACCGCGUGGGUGAAGAAGGCCUUCGGGUUGUAAAGCCCUUUUGUUGGGAAAGAAAAGCAGCAGGUUAAUACCCCGCUGUUCUGACGGUACCCAAAGAAUAAGCACCGGCUAACUUCGUG